AUACUUACUUUGCCCAGUUCAUUGAAUUGUGAGAAGAACUCUUCUCUGGUAGAUAGUCCCCAGCAAAGCUCACCAUCUGCAAUCUAUAGGAACGUUCAUGGCCCCAUUUAUUUUUUUUGUUGCUGGCAAAUUGGACAUAUCUUGGCAUACUGGAAUGUAACUCAAAUGCUGUCUGGUUCUCAUUUUCCAAAACGUUCCUGGUCAGUUUUGUCCGUUGUAUUUGCCAUUCUGAAUUCCAUGGAACAUUUAAAGGUUCAAAUUCCAUGUCAUGGACCACUAUUGAGUUGUUAGUUCCUUAAAACAAAAAUGGAUAUAAUAAAAUGAGGUAAUAAAUACAUAAUUUUAAAAAAA